rnacentral:rRNA from 1 species
ACAGUGAUGUGGAGCAAAACACAAAAAGACAGUCUCAGUUCAGAUUGUAGGCUGAAACUCGCCUAUAUGAAGUCGGAAUUGCUAGUAAUCGCAGAUCAGCAUGCUGCGGUGAAUACGUUCCCGGGCCUUGUACACACCGCCCGUCACACCAUGAGAGUCGAUAACACCCGAAGCCUGUAGUCUAACCAUAAGGAGGACGCAGUCGAAGGUGGGAUUGAUAAUUAGGGUGAAGUCGUAACAAGGUAGC